rnacentral:tRNA from 33 species
CGGGAAGUAGCUCAGUUUGGUAGAGCACUUGGUUUGGGACCAAGGGGUCGCAGGUUCGAAUCCUGUCUUCCCGA